AUUGAACGCUGGCGGCAGGCCUAACACAUGCAAGUCGAACGAGUGGCGGACGGGUGAGUAAUGUCUGGGAAACUGCCCGAUGGAGGGGGAUAACUACUGGAAACGGUAGCUAAUACCGCAUACCAUCGGAUGUGCCCAGAUGGGAUUAGCUAGCAGGUGGGGUAAAGGCUGACCUAGGCGACGCUCCCUAGCUGGGCUGGGAGGAUGACCAGCCACACUGGGACGGAGCCACGGUCCAGACUCCUACGGGAGGCAGCAGUGGGGAAUAUUGCACAAUGGGCGCAAGCCUGAUGCAGCCAUGCCGCGUGUAUGAAGAAGGCCUUCGGGUUGUAAAGUACUUUCAGCGAGGAGGCGUUACGCGCAGAAGAAGCACCGGCUAACUCCGUGCCAGCAGCCGCGGUAAUUC
rnacentral:rRNA from 1 species